GAUGAAGAACGUAGCGAAAUGUGAUAAGUAGUGUGAAUUGCAGAAUUCAGUGAAUCAUCGAAUCUUUGAACGCACAUUGCGCCUUCUAGUAUUCUGGGAGGCAUGCCUGUUUGAGCGUCAUUAAACCUCUCUCAAGUAUGAUUACUUGGAUGUGAAGGAAGAGUACCUUAAACUUAAGGAGUGUUCUCCUUUGAAAUUGAUUAGCAGAUGGUAAUGUUAUUAAAUCCCUGAUGUUGUAAGAAAUAACAGUGGUUUUGUAGACUAUUAUCUAGCUUUAAAUUAUAAUUUUUAUUAUGGUUGACCUCAAAUCAGGUAAGGAUACCCGCUGAACUUAAGCAUAUCAAUAAGCGGAGGA
rnacentral:misc_RNA from 1 species